CUACGUGCCAGCAGCCGCGGUAAUACGGAAGGUUCGGGCGUUAUCCGGAUUUAUUGGGUUUAAAGGGAGCGUAGGCCGGAGAUUAAGUGUGUUGUGAAAUGUAGACGCUCAACGUCUGACUUGCAGCGCAUACUGGUUUCCUUGAGUACGCACAACGUUGGCGGAAUUCGUCGUGUAGCGGUGAAAUGCUUAGAUAUGACGAAGAACUCCGAUUGCGAAGGCAGCUGACGGGAGCGCAACUGACGCUGAAGCUCGAAGGUGCGGGUAUCGAACAGGAUUAGAUACCCUGGUAGUCCGCACAGUAAACGAUGGAUGCCCGCUGUUGGUACCUAGUAUCAGCGGCUAAGCGAAAGCAUUAAGCAUCCCACCUGGGGAGUACGCCGGCAACGGUGAAACUCAAAGGAAUUGACGGGGGCCCGCACAAGCGGAGGAACAUGUGGUUUAAUUCGAUGCAACGCGAAGAACCUUACCUACUCUUGACAUCCAGAGAAUUUUC
rnacentral:rRNA from 1 species